rnacentral:lncRNA from 1 species
AAAAAAGGGGUUACCAUAUUUUCUUUUCUGUGUAUCGGGAAACACAGAAGCUCCCUGUGGAGGUCAUGGUAACGCCGGAGGCAUGCAACACCACCACGGGAUCCUCUUCGACAGGGUAUUUCGGUAAAUUCGGUAUGAGCUCGGCAACAAAUUCCACCGCCCCAUCGUCAACAUCAACAGAGAUAAUUCCGCUGAGAAGAAGAUCGAGGAGGUUAUUUUGGUAACUUUACUGUUUCAUAAGAGAUUUGUUUAAUUCUGAGAUUUGUUUUGAGACUUAUUUAAUUAAAUCACAAUGGUUUUACUUAUGGUACAUCCAAGCUUAAUUAUUAAAUGUGACAAGAAUAACUUGCACCAUUGAUUCUUCGAUGAUGUAUACCUGCAUGUGUUAAGUGCGUAUACUGCAAUCUUAUUUUGAACUUAUAUUAAACAAUCGGGUAAUUUUUAAAAACCUCCCCUGAGGUUUGGGCUUGUUGCAAGUAGAUGGCGAGAAUUGAUUUAUUUGUAAAAAACCCCCUACCGUCAGUUAAGUUUAACAUUGACCGUUAGUUGACCGUGCAAAGACAAUAUUACCCUCAACAAUAGUUUGUAAACGAAAAUAACUAAAAAAAAACCAAAAUUAUUAGCUAUUUUAUACUUUUUAAAUUAUUGAUAUUUUCUUAAAGUUCUUAUAAAAAAUUAAAAUUAAAAAAUUAAAAAAUCUUAUUUAAAUUAUUGAUAUUUCCUUAAAAUUCCUACAAGAAAGAUAAAAUUAAAAAUUUAAAAAUGAAAUAGUCAUAAUCUUUACCUAUGAUAUUGUAAAUUUUUAGAAUUGACAAGGAUAAAAUUGUCAAAAAAUAGGGUUUGUGCUUUUUGCACCAAUAAUUUUGGUUUUUUUUUAGUUAUUUUCGUUUACAAACUAUUGUUGAGGGUAAUAUUGUCUUUGCACGGUCAACUAACGGUCAAUGUUAAACUUAACUGACGGUAGGGGAUUUUUUACAAAUAAAUCAAUUCUCGCCAUCUACUUGCAACAAGUCCAAACCUCAGGGGAGGUUUUUAAAAAUUACCCUUAAACAAUCUAACUUUCAGUUCUGACAAUACAAUAAGAGAAAACAAUUAUUGUUCAAAUUCCUUACUCAAAAUUGUUACUAAUGGGACUCUUACACUAUUUAAAUCACUUACAUACCUCUAAAUUGAGAAAUAAUCUGUUUGAAUGGAAUUGCCUUUAGGAUUAACUAAUUACUAAUAGUAAAUGUACUUUAUGCCCACGCUUACUUGAUAUAAGAGAUAAAAUUUAGUGUUUAGUGGACAAAAAUUUUCUCAUCCCCAUUUAUAGUAAAUUGAUUUCAAUUAUAAUCUACUUUAUUUGUGAUUGUGAUGAAUAUGCUAAAAGGGUAAGAAAGUUAUAUCAAUAAAAAAUUGUGCAAAGAAAGACGGAAAAAGCACCAUCCACAAAAGACCAAUGAUUUUGCCAAAGUCCACAUCAUGGGCCAAAAUAUCCCUAAAUCAUAGUAUUUAUCAGCUUCUUGUUAUAGUUGUAUACAAGCUCAUUUUUCAACACUGCCAUAUACUUCUCUUUGCAUUUUCAUUUUUUCUUUCUGUAUAUUGAUCAUGAUCUGGCUUAUUGAUGGUUGCAAGGGAAGUUACAAAUUUGCAAAGCGAAA